rnacentral:rRNA from 1 species
AAAGGUAGCUAAUACCUUAUAAUAUCCCAAUUUUAUUUGGAUUAAAGCUUUAUGUGCUUUGGGAGGGGCCUGCGUCUGAUUAGCUAGUUGGUGAGGUAAAAGCUCACCAAGGCGACGAUCAGUAGCUGGUUUUGAGAGGACGACCAGCCACACUGGGACUGAGAUACGGCCCAGACUCCUACGGGAGGCAGCAGUAAGGAAUCUUCCACAAUGGGGCAACCCUGAUGGAGCAAUGCCGCGUGCAGGAUGAAGCGUUUCGGCGUGUAAACUGCUUUUAUCACCGAAGAUUAUGACGGUAGGUGAAGAAUAAGGACCGGCUAACUACGUG